rnacentral:rRNA from 1 species
CACGUAGGGCGCAAGCGUUGUCCGGAAUUAUUGGGCGUAAAGAGCUCGUAGGCGGUCUGUUGCGUCCGCUGUGAAAUCUCGGGGCUUAACCCCGAGCCUGCAGUGGAUACGGGCAGACUAGAGGUAGGUAGGGGAGAAUGGAAUUCCCGGUGUAGCGGUGAAAUGCGCAGAUAUCGGGAGGAACACCGGUGGCGAAGGCGGAUCUCUGGGCCGAUACUGACGCUGAGGAGCGAAAGCGUGGGGAGCGAACAGG